GUUCUCUUAGCUCAGUUGGAAGAGUGCUUCCGUGACAUGGAAGAGGUCGUAGAUUCGAAUUCUACAGAGAACAC
rnacentral:tRNA from 1 species